CAUCCCCUGCGGUGUUCGUUAGAAGGCCGGGUAUUUUCUUGAGCCUAAUAUCUACCCCGGGGGUAAAAAGUGGUUGUCGAUGUGCAUGUCCGCCACGAGCGGAAAGCCUAUAGACGGCGCGGUUAUCCCCACUUGAACCAUCCGGUUCAAGAACGAAAGCCGACGACGGCACAGGCGGGGGGUGU
rnacentral:other from 1 species